GUGGGGAAUUUUGGACAAUGGGCGCAAGCCUGAUCCAGCCAUGCCGCGUGCAGGAUGAAGGCCUUCGGGUUGUAAACUGCUUUUGUACGGAACGAAACGGCUCUUUCUAAUAAAGAGGGCUAAUGACGGUACCGUAAGAAUAAGCACCGGCUAACUACGUGCCAGCAGCCGCGGUAAUACGAAGGGUGCAAGCGUUAAUCGGAAUUACUGGGCGUAAAGCAUGCGCAGGCGGUGCUGUAAGACAGGCGUGAAAUCCCCGGGCUUAACCUGGGAAUUGCGCUUGUGACUGCAGUGCUGGAGUGCGGCAGAGGGGGAUGGAAUUCCGCGUGUAGCAGUGAAAUGCGUAGAUAUGCGGAGGAACACCGAUGGCGAAGGCAAUCCCCUGGGCCUGCACUGACGCUCAUGCACGAAAGCGUGGGGAGCAAACAGGAUUAGAAACCCGAGUAGUCC
rnacentral:rRNA from 1 species